GGAAUUGCACUUGAAUUCACUUUGCAAUUCACAUCAUAGCAUUAACUGAGCUUGAUAAACAAAACGCAAGAAACAUCAUCAAACAUUUUUAGAUCACAGUACAUGAACUACUUUUUCGGUAAAAAUAAUAUAUUAAAAUUCACGAACAUACCAAUUACACGCAACCUCUGCAUCAAUAAGAUGUCCGAAGACAUCAAGAAUGUAGCAGCAGUACAGGAACUACUAAAUCAUUUGAGUGUUUCUACUAAAGAUCACAGUACAGGAAGAUUCAGAUAUAGAAAGAAACAUGGGCAUUGGAUUUUCAUAUCUCAGUAAUCACAUAUCCAGACCAUGCCUCAACAAAUCAAUUGUUAUUUUAGGAAGACUUUCAGAUCUCACUACAAGAACUAUUAUUUCAAGAUAAUUCAGAGUUAACCAGAGACAUUUGAGAAAUUUGAUUCAUAUACAGAAAUAAGCAUGACACUGAUUCCAUUCGAGCAUUUCGACAAACACACAGCAGACUGCAUCUCCGAUAUCACACCUGAACCGCUACAGCGACAGAACUGACAAAAAGAACAGAAAUCCAUCAGUGCUUGGACCUCGGCGAGGUCCUCCUUGCCGCCGGCGCCUCCGCAGCCUUCCUCUUCGGUGAG
rnacentral:lncRNA from 1 species